AGAGGGAAGGCAUGUUUCCUUUAUGAGUUUCAGUUUAUUGCACAGAAAUGUUUUUGAAACCUUUGUCACCAAUGGACUCAUGAAUGGGUGUCAGAGAGUCAAAAAUAGAGGAAAAAAUGUAGUCUGUAAACAAAUCACUGGAUGGCAUUAGAAGUUGAGCCAAAGUAAAAGAUGCUGGAGCUUGGCCCUUAUCAGAGAAGUAUAGAAGAGCCAGGUAGGGGAUUUUAUUUACAACAUGUUCAAUUCUGAGGAAUAUGGACAGGGCAGAGGAAAAAGGAAAAAUGGGAAACUCCCAUGGACUUAAGGCCCCACAAAGAGAAACCACGUGCCUUCUCCCCCCUUCCCUUCCGGUUUGGGCAAAUGAGGCAGUUCAUGCUCCCUUUAGGGGCGGAGGCAGUCUACAGGGGCCAGCUGGGCACAGAUGAAAUCUUGCAAAGGAACCUUUCUUACACUCGAAAAGCAAGAAUAGCAAAGGGACUUUGGGAAGGACAUCAAACAAGAAAAGGAAGCUCCACACCAACGGUUCCCAGAUGGAGGGAGUUUGUGUGUCUAGCAUUUUCACCAACGUGCUGCUCAUCCUGAUGCACAGAUGCAAACUGGAGCUGCUGCCUGUGCCCUCACCAUGGGCAUGUACCCACCACAGGCAUUCCCAGGUGACGCAGGGGCGGAGGAUUCCCUCUUUCCACUCAGGAUAACAACCCCUGGAUGGGGUUUUCAACAAGUAUAGAAAGCUCCUGGAUGUAGCCAAGACUCUCACCCACAGUCCCAGUCCUCCCACCUUCUUCAGGUCUCUAGAAGACAGAACAGAUGAGUUUACAACAUCCUGUUAUCCUCACUAGUCCUAGGCUGUGGAUGUAGGGAAAGGCCAGGUAAACAAGGAAGGGAGAACAGUUGAAUGACGCCAAUUGUUUGAAACCAAAAUUGCAGAACUGCCCACAAUUAACUUGUGUUUACUUAAGUAAACACCAAGGAACAUAGGUCUGUUCCAGAAAUACUACAAAAUAGAAGAGUAUGUGAGCACCAGAUGCACGUGAUGAAGACCAUGCUCUGAAAGAUUCAUUCCAAGGAGUAGAAGCAGUAUUUGCUCAGGGCAUUUAACGAGAGCACGGACUCUGGAAUGAGGGGAGAGAAAAGAUAGGACAUGCAGGAACAGCUGGCAACACCAAGGAAAGGAUUUAAGGAGAGAGAUCUCUGUAUUGAAGAAUUUAACAUUACCCUAGAAACAGCAAGAGCAUCAUCAGCCCCAGGAAAAUCUACCUCUGAUGUGGAGACCAGGCUUAAGAAAAUCCCCUAGAACCCAGAGAAAAAGUGCAAAACAAGGAAAAUGGCCAAAGAGAACAUCCUAGAUAUAGAGAUCAGACAAUGAGAAUCCAGAGUCUUGUUAAGUGAUAAAAGGAAAAUACUAACAGAACGUGUGUAACAGGAACACCAUUUUAGAGGAAACAAGAAGAAAAGUUUCCUAAACUCGAAAAGUACUACACCAGAAGUGGGCAGUACUCACUAUGUUCAGGGGAACAAAAAGAUAAAAACUGAAAAGCAUCAGAAUAUUUUUUGUGUGAAGGAAAUUUGUAAGGUAGGAGAAUUAGGUCAUUUAUUACAGCACAAACUGCAUGUCUAUCUAAAUAGACAUUUAAGUGCAAAAACAUGGAUAUUACUCGUAGUUUUACUGGAAAACCAUACAGAUGUUUUUUAUGAAUGUAUAGAAUGAAUCAAAGUAAAUAACUGAUCAACAGGAAAACUAGGAAAUUUGUGAGCUGGUUGUGAGGCAGUGGCUCCUAUUAUGUAUAAUUUUAGUGCGACGUGCUGUGUUAAUGAUAGCUGUCAAACAAUAUGUUAGCAUUUGAAAGGAAAUAUGUAUACUGGGAGCAUAGUAAUUAUUUUAUAAAGAAUAACAAUAAAUCAUUUGAUUU
ensembl:lncRNA